AUUGAACGCUGGCGGCAUGCCUUACACAUGCAAGUCGAACGGCAGCACGGGGCAACCUGGUGGCGAGUGGCGAACGGGUGAGUAAUGCAUCGGAACGUGCCAUUGAGUGGGGGAUAACGUAGCGAAAGUUGCGCUAAUACCGCAUAUUCUGUGAGCAGGAAAGCAGGGGGACCGCAAGGCCUUGCGCUCUUUGAGCGGCCGAUGUCAGAUUAGCUAGUUGGUGAGGUAACGGCUUACCAAGGCGACGAUCUGUAGCGGGUCUGAGAGGAUGAUCCGCCACACUGGAACUGAGACACGGUCCAGACUCCUACGGGAGGCAGCAGUGGGGAAUUUUGGACAAUGGGCGCAAGCCUGAUCCAGCCAUGCCGCGUGAGUGAAGAAGGCCUCGGUUGUAAGACUCUUCGGUCCGGGAA
rnacentral:rRNA from 1 species